rnacentral:rRNA from 1 species
GAUGAACGCUGGCGGCGUGCCUAAUACAUGCAAGUCGAGCGAACAGACGAGGAGCUUGCUCCUCUGACGUUAGCGGCGGACGGGUGAGUAACACGUGGAUAACCUACCUAUAAGACUGGGAUAACUUCGUGAAACCGGAGCUAAUACCGGAUAAUAUAUUGAACCGCAGGGUUCAAUAGUGAAAGACGGUUUUGCUGUCACUUAUAGAUGGAUCCGCGCCGCAUUAGCUAGUUGGUAAGGUAACGGCUUACCAAGGCAACGAUGCGUAGCCGACCUGAGAGGGUGAUCGGCCACACUGGAACUGAGACACGGUCCAGACUCCUACGGGAGGCAGCAGUAGGGAAUCUUCCGCAAUGGGCGAAAGCCUGACGGAGCAACGCCGCGUGAGUGAUGAAGGUCUUCGGAUCGUAAAACUCUGUUAUUAGGGAAGAACAAAUGUGUAAGUAACUAUGCACGUCUUGACGGUACCUAAUCAGAAAGCCACGGCUAACUACGUG